rnacentral:rRNA from 1 species
GACGAACGCUGGCGGCGUGCCUAAUACAUGCAAGUCGAGCGAUGAAGCUUGGUGCUUGCACCAAUUUGAAGAGCAGCGAACGGGUGAGUAACGCGUGGGGAAUCUGCCUUUGAGCGGGGGACAACAUUUGGAAACGAAUGCUAAUACCGCAUAACAACUUUAAACAUAAGUUUUAAGUUUGAAAGAUGCAAUUGCAUCACUCAAAGAUGAUCCCGCGUUGUAUUAGCUAGUUGGUGAGGUAAAGGCUCACCAAGGCGAUGAUACAUAGCCGACCUGAGAGGGUGAUCGGCCACAUUGGGACGGGGACACGGCCCAAACUCCUACGGGAGGCAGCAGGAGGGGAUCUUCGGCAAAGGACGAAAGGCUGACCGAGCAACGCCGCGUGAGUGAAGAAGGGUUUCGGAUCGUAAAACUCUGUUGGUAGAGAAGAACGUUGGUGGGAGUGGAAAGCUCAUCAAGUGACGGUAACUACCCAGAAAGGGACGGCUAACUACGUG